ACACUCCUGCGGGAGGCAGCAGUGGGGAAUAUUGGACAAUGGGCGCAAGCCUGAUCCAGCCAUGCCGCGUGAGUGAUGAAGGCCCUAGGGUUGUAAAGCUCUUUCACCGGUGAAGAUAAUGACGGUAACCGGAGAAGAAGCCCCGGCUAACUUCGUGCCAGCAGCCGCGGUAAUACGAAGGGGGCUAGCGUUGUUCGGAUUUACUGGGCGUAAAGCGCACGUAGGCGGACUAUUAAGUCAGGGGUGAAAUCCCGGGGCUCAACCCCGGAACUGCCUUUGAUACUGGUAGUCUUGAGUUCGAGAGAGGUGAGUGGAAUUCCGAGUGUAGAGGUGAAAUUCGUAGAUAUUCGGAGGAACACCAGUGGCGAAGGCGGCUCACUGGCUCGAUACUGACGCUGAGGUGCGAAAGCGUGGGAGCAAACAGGAUUAGAUACCCCAGUAGUCCC
rnacentral:rRNA from 1 species